rnacentral:misc_RNA from 1 species
CCAUAAUACUCGCAAUCCAAUUAUUGUUAUGAAAUAAACAAUUGCUUGCAAGGUGUUUUGUUCACUGUUUUAAAAAAAUUUUUUUUUUCCAGUUAAUAAAUAACUUAGGAGACGGGAAAGUGGGUAGCAUCAAUAGCAUCGCUACAUAGUAAUUUCGUAGUUGGUGCCGAGAGAAAUGGAACAAUCAAGUCAACAGACUGAUCGAAAUCCAUUGGCAAAUUACCAAUUCUCUGCUGACGAAAUAAGAGUAUUGCGCGAAUGUAACUCGGAAUCUUUCUUUCAACGUUCUCUGCCUUUAGGAACUGCAUUGGGGGUUGGCGCAUAUUUGGCGGUGAAGAAUGGUUUUUUACAAGUAAAUUUUAAAUUAG